UUGAACGCUGGCGGCAGGCCUUAACACAUGCAAGUCGAGCGGCAGCACGGGGUACUACCCUGGCUGGCGAGCGGCGGACGGGUGAGUAAUGACAUCGGAAUCGUGUCCUGGUAGUGGGGGAUAACCGUCGGAAACGAACGACUAAUACCGCAUAUGCUCUAGCGGGAGGAAAGCAGGGGGACCUUCGCAGGACCUCGCGCUAUAGAUGAGCCUAGGUCCGGAUUAGCUAGUUGGUGAGGUAAUGGCUUACCAAGGCGACGAUCGUAACUGGUCUGAGAGGAUGAUCAGUCCACACUGGAACUGAGACACGGUCCCAGACUCCUACGGGAGGCAGCAGUGGGGAAUAUUGGACAAUGGGGCGAAAGCCCUGAUCCAGCCAUGCCGCGUGCUGGGAAGAAGGCCUUCGGAUUGUAAAGCCCUUUAGUCCGGAGAGAAAGGCGCCUACCUAAUACGGUACUGUCUUGACGUACCGGACAGAAUAAGCACCGGCUAACUACUGUGCCAGCAGCCGCGGUAAUACAGUAGGGUGCGAAGCGUUAAUCGGAAUUACUGGGCGUAAAGCGUGCGUAGGCUGGUCCGCUAAGUCUGGAUGUGAAAUCCCCGGGCUCAACCUGGGAACUGCAUUGAAACUAACGGAGCUCGAGUAUGGCUAGAGGGGGGUGGAAUUCCCGUGUAGCGGUGAAAUGCGUAGAUAUAGUGAAGGAACACCGAUGUGGAAGGCAGCCCCCUGGCUGACUACUGACCUCAUGCAGGCGAAAGCGUGGGGAGCAAACAGGAUUAGAUACCCUGGUAGUCCACGCCGUAAACGAUGUCAACUAGGGUGUUGGGGAAGCUGAGUCCUCUAGUAGGCCGCAGCUAACGCAUUAAGUUGACCGCCUGGGGAGUACGGCCGCAAGGUUAAAACUCAAAUGAAUUGACGGGGACCCGCACAAGCGGUGGAUGAUGUGGAUUAAUUCGAAUGCAACGCGAAGCAACCUUACCUAGCCCUUGACAUGUCCAAUGAACUCCACUGAGAGGAUGGGGUGCCUCGGAAAUGAGUCGACACAGGUGCUGCAUGGCUGUCGUCAGCUCGUGUCGUGAGAUGUUGGGUUAAGUCCCGCUAACGAGCGCAACCCUUGUCCUAGUUACAGCUACGCAAUGGGGCACUCUAAGGGAGACUGCCGGUGACAAACCGGAGGAAGGUGGGGAUGACGUCAAGUCCUCAUGGCCCUUAUGGCUAGGGCUUACACACGUGCAUACAAUGGUCCGGUACAGAGGGUUGCCAAGCCGCGAGGUGGAGCCUAAUCCCAUAAAACCGAUCGUAGUCCGGAUUGCAGUCUGCAACUCGACUGCAGUGAAGUCGGAAUCGCUAGUAAUCGCGGAUCAGCAAUGCCGCGGUGAAUACGUUCCCGGGUCCUUGUACACACCGCCCGUCACACCAUGGAAGCAGGAUGUACCUAGAAGUCAGCCGCGCUAACCGCAAGGGAUGGCGGUUGCCACGGUGCUGGUUUCGUGACUGGGGUG
rnacentral:rRNA from 1 species